rnacentral:lncRNA from 1 species
GAUCUAGAGCCAAGGUUCAGUAUCUCACAACCAACAUAUUUCAUGUUGUCCAUGAACAAGUGCACCAGUUUAUAGCCACCACCAUUCAUCAUCGAUGCGAAUCCAUAAGAUUCUUCGCGAGGUCCAGACAAUGUUCCCACGGGAAGAGCUAGUAGUUUCCUCGUCACAGGGUUCAUGACCAAGAGCCCUCCAUUCUUCAGAAUGUUGUCUAGCAAAAUGAAACCGUUACAUGCUGCUCUAAUAUUCCCCAGGCAGCUGAUGCCAUAAUCUCCAGUCAUCACACCUUCCCCCUCGAUAAACUUGACAAAGUUCAUGCUGAACUGUGUCAACCUCUUGGCAGAUUGUAGUGCAAACAAGUUGAUAGGUUGAGAUUCAAGCAAUUUUCCUUCAACUGAAAAACAAUUGUUGGUUUCUUGCUUGGUUGAGG